AUACGGAGGGUCCAAGCGUUAUCCGGAAUCAUUGGGUUUAAAGGGUUCGUAGGCGGGUCAAUAAGUCGGAGGUGAAAUCUUGCAGCUUAACUGUAAAAUUGCCUUUGAUACUGUUGACCUUGAAUUACUGUGAAGUGGUUAGAAUAUGUGGUGUAGCGGUGAAAUGCUUAGAGAUUACAUAGAAUACCGAUUGCGAAGGCAGAUCACUAACAGUAUAUUGACGCUGAUGAACGAAAGCGUGGGUAGCGAACGGGAUUAGAAACCCCAGUAGUCC
rnacentral:rRNA from 1 species